AGCGAACGCUGGCGGCAGGCUUAACACAUGCAAGUCGAACGCCCCGCAAGGGGAGUGGCAGACGGGUGAGUAACACGUGGGAACGUACCCUUUGGUUCGGAAUAACUUGGGGAAACUCAAGCUAAUACCGGAUAAGCCCUUAUGGGGAAAGGUUUACUGCCGAAGGAUCGGCCCGCGUCUGAUUAGCUAGUUGGUGAGGUAAUGGCUCACCAAGGCGACGAUCAGUAGCUGGUCUGAGAGGAUGAUCAGCCACACUGGGACUGAGACACGGCCCAGACUCCUACGAGAGGCAGCAGUGGGGAAUAGUGGACAAUGGGGGCAACCCUGCUCCAGCCAUGCCGCGUGAGUGAUGAAGGCCUUAGGGUUGUAAAGCUCUUUUACCCGGGACGAUAAUGACUGUACCGGGAGAAUAAGCCCCGGCUAACUUCGUGCCAGCCGCCGCCGUAA
rnacentral:rRNA from 1 species